rnacentral:lncRNA from 1 species
GAGGGUUUGACAAAGCUCUUUUGAAGUUCUAUCUUAAUCAAGUGCGUUUUACUUUAUCUUGGACUUUUCAUUUUAUUUUUAUUUUUUCGUUUUUUUACCUUUGGGUGAUGGUUCUGUUUUUGUCCCUGUAUUUUUUGAAAUGCUUCUUUCUAUUGGGAGAGGGGCAGCAGAUAGUCCCUGUAUUUUGUUAAGGAUUUUGCACUGCAAUUUACUAGGUACUUACAGUGUAAAAACCCUUAGUUUUGCAAUGGAUUUUUACAUGUUUAAUUUCACACUGGAAUUUCUGGGGGUUAUACACUGUAAGUCUGCAUUUACAGUUUAAUUUACUAUGUAAUUUACACUGUAAGUACAUCAUUUGUCUUUGCUGCAUCUUUUACUCUGUAAAGUGUACUUUCAAUGUAAUUACACCAUUUUCUUUACUCUAGAAUUUAUGGGAAAUCUACACUUGAAAUUUCUAGGUACAAGACUAGUUACAUGGGGAUUUACACUGUAAUUUUCUAAGAUUUUACACUUGAUUUUGACUAGAUUUACACUGGAUUUGCAUGGGGAUUUUUUACACUGUAACUACAUCUUUUGUCUACAUGCUUACAGUGGAAUUACAUGAUUUACACUCUAAAUUACAUCUUUUGUCUACAUGCUUUCACUGGAAUUUACAUUGUAAUCCUAGAAUUUACACUGGAAUUAUAUGAUUUACACUGUAACUACAUCUUUUGUCUACAUGCUUACACUGGAAUUUAUGGGGAUUUAACAGUGUAUACUUUUCAUGUAAUUCCAUCAUUUCUUUACUCUCGAAUUUAUGGGAUUUUUUUACCAAAUUUCUAGGUGCAAGACUAGUUUACAUGGGGAUUUACACUGGAAUUUUUGACUAGUUUACAUGUGGAUUUACACUGUAAUUUCUAGGAUUUUACACUGGAAUUUUGACUAGUUUAAAUGGGGAUUUACACUGGAAUUUUCUGGGAUUUACACCGGAAUUUUUGACUAGUUUACAUGGGGAUUUACAAUGUAAUUUUCUGUGACUUUAGAAUGGAAUUUUGACUAGUUUAAAUGGGGAUUUACACUGUAAUUUUCUAGGAUUUACACUGAAAAUUGACUGGGUUUACAUGGAGAUUUACACUGUAAAUUCUAGGAUUUACACUAGAAAUUGACUAGUUUACAUGGGGAUUUACACCGUCUCUCCCAUGGGCGGCUCCCAGAUUUGUUCUAGCCCUGUUAGGUGAGAUCUGUCUAGUGGUUGAGGGGGGAGGGGCGUGUUUUGUGGAGGGAUUUGGUCUCUGCGUGCGUUGCAAGCUUGCUGGCAUGUGCCAUGUGAUCCCUGAUGGGGUUUGUUUGUCCAGGACGAACCGGGUGAGAUGUUUACCCGACCCGUUUAGGCGCUCUUUUCUGUUUUUUUUGGUGAUUUUGCUGCUAAUACAGAUGUAUUGUGUUGAUUGGUCAGGAAAUUUGACUGUUUUCGAAUUGAAAAACAGUCAAAUGUCAAAUAGACAGAAUAUAUGGCCUUUGAACGCACACGCAAACAAAGAAGGUUCAUGGAGCUAUUUUGUUUUAUGGGGAAGGUUCGUAGAGAUAAAUCCUGGACUCUUUUUUUUUUUUUGAGGCAACCUGCCGAUAAUGCUGGACUAGUUUCAAAAACUUUCAGCUUUGUACUUGCUGGGCCCGCCAUUACCGGUGAAGCCACAUUUGGGCUGUGGGCAGCCAGCAGCCCAGCGCAGAGAAAAAUCAUCACUCGACCCACGCUCCCCACGCCCCCACCCAUGUGGCCAUGUCGUCACUUUCCCCUUCUCGUCGAGGGUUUCCUCUGCCCUGUUACGUUCCCCACUCCAAUCCAAUGGCGACGACCAGCAACAAGAAAAUGGCGUCGCCGUCGCCUAUGCCGGACAUGCCCGACCAGCUCCUCGCCGAGAUCUUCCUCCGGCUGCCCACCCCACAAGACCUCGCCCGCGCCUCCGCCGUCUGCACCACCUUCCGCAGAAUCUCCACCGACAGGUCCUUCCUCCGCUGCUUCCGCUGCCUCCACGCGCCGCCACUCCUCGGAUUCCUCGACCGCGACGGCUUCCACCCAGCCCUACCCUCCACCCCCGCCGUCCGCGCGGUCGCCGCCGCCGCCGAUUUCACCUUCUCCUUCCUCCCCCACCACCGCCGCUGGACCGUGCAGGACGUCCGCGACGGCCGCGUCCUCCUCUCCCGCAGCACCGGAAAACUUGGGCAGCCCCCGGUCUUCAGAGAUCUCGCGGUGUGCGACCCCUUGCACUGGCGCUACGUCCUGCUCCCCCCGCUACCUCACGACCUAGCUGCUUUGCUUGGGCACCCGUUCCCCCCGGUAACCGAAGCCUGCUGCAAGCGCUUCCUCGUUCCCCUCGGCGAGGAGGAGGCAGCGGCUGGAGACACAACAUUCAGAGUCAUCUUGAUGGCGUAUUGCAAAACCAGCCUGGCUGCCUUUGUCUUCUCUUCCAGCAACGAUCAAUGGCGAGCUACUGCAUCCAAGGAUUUGAGUGAUUUGGCCCUUGACGAGGGCGACAUGGAGGAGAUGUCAAGGGUCCAGCCUUUCAUUCCCAUGCGCCAUUAUGCUUAUGGCUGUUUCUACUGGGACUGGGUGCAAUUCGGGAUGAAGAAGUUGCUCUUGCUUGACACCACGAACAUGGAGUUCUCCGCUGCUGACCUCCCACCAGGAGAAUGGAGCAAGGAAGGUAUAGCCAUUGUGGAGGCCGGGGAAGGCAGGCUCGGGAUCUUUGGUUUCCGUGGUGAACUUGCAUCCAGUCUCAGCUAUACCACUGCACGGACCAAAGGCGAGAGUCCCAGCCAGUGGCAGAUGGAGAAGACAAUCUCACUAGAUUCUGGCUACAAAUAUUGUAUCAGAGAUGCAACACAGAGGUACUUGCUCUUGACAAGGAUAGAAGCAUCAUCCCUAAAUAAUCACCUUGUUGGAUAUUUCUCAAUGGAUAUCAAGACGUUGCAGCUUCAGAGGGUUUAUGAGAAACAGCACUAUUCUAAUCAGACAUACACAUAUAUCAACUUCCCACCAUCAUUGUUGUCUUCAAGGAGAAUAUGAAGUGGUAAAGUUUCUAUUGCUUCCAAGUAUCUCCUUCACUUCAUAAUUAUCACAUGACUUGUCUAUUGCUUCAUGCUCAUUAUGGCAAUCGGUAAUUCCUGUCUUUUUAGUACUGUUUAAUUUAUUGUGCUCAUGGAAAACUAGAAAGCUCGGGAACAUAAUUGUGUUUCUUGUCUUGUUUGUCCCGGUCGCCUUUUAAAGAGAAUGGGGUUAGUAGGAGAAAUGAUCUUGUACACUACAAGUAGCUUAUGCAUGAGUGAGUCCUGAUGGAAAUCUGGAAUCGCUAAAAAUACCAGGUCAUUAUAGUUAUUUUAGAGGAGUAGUUUUGAUGAUCAAGAUAAAGUGGAAGGAAUACAACUUUAUUUCUGGUUUACCUUGAAUUGAUUCACCAUGAGAAAAUCCACUCAAGUCAAAGACAGCCCAUUUUGUACACUUUUUCUUCAGAUGUAUAAUUUUAUCUUGCGAUGUUGUUUCGAGGUAAACCUGUAUGGUCACAAAUAAGAUCCUGAGUCACUGCUGUAAAUAAGAAGAGCUUGUGCUCACAGGCAACUGAAUUGUUAUCCUGCGAUGUUGUUUUAUCUGAAUCAACCUCAUAAGAUUGAAGGGAAUGCUUAUCACGGGCAACUGAAAUUGUUCUUUAUUGCAGUCAUUGUCUCCACCACUGUUAGAUCCUCAGUAUCAUGGUUGUGCUCUGAAUCUCCAAGCAAAUCAUAUUGGUUGAGAUGAUUGACUGAAACUUAGAGUUGUCAGGUGAUUGUAUUGUUUCUCGCUGCCAACACCCUGAGCUACAUAUUCACGUAUAUGUUGUUCUAGUUUUUAUGGUGCUUGUAGCUUCAGUUAAUGAGGCUGCUGCUGUCCCAGCGUAAGAGUGAGUGUGAUCAUGAACUUUAACAGUUUCAAUCGACCAACAAUUAUGGUUGAGCUAGCUAGCUGAGGCAUAUUUCCAUGUCCCAUUUUUUUCUCAACUAGUAUUUAUUAGAGUUAUGAUCUCGUUGAGGAUGAAUACAAUACACGUUGAUUGUAACCAUUAAAAGCCUUUGCAUUCUAUCGAAAGUGAAGGAGUGCCCCUAUUUUUCUUUUUUUGAGUUUGAAGCUAGAGCUUUAUUAGUAGUAGGAAACAAGUUGGUGCAUAGCGCCCAUGAUAUCACCAGCAAUAAACUCUGGCACAUCGAACUCCCAUUUUACCCUACCAGAGCCUACAGGUUUAAUUCCAAAUUUACUUAAGCCUUGUUUGUCUGUCGACUGCCUGCAGACAGACAAGUCGCAACUGGACAAGCACAGUCGGUUGUGUGAACAAGUUUUCUGCAAUUAACUCUACUAUGCAGUUGAAAUUCUUUUUUAUUGCAGUCAAUCUCCACCACUCUGAUAUCUUGAUAUGAUGGUUGUCCUAAUCUGAGAGCAUAUCCUAUUGGUUUUGAUAUAAUUGAAUGAAUCUUAAAGAGUUUCCAGGUGAUUGUGUAUUAGCAAUUUUGUAGGAUGAAUUUGAGGGGACAACCAGUUUUCUUUUUGUUCCUUUAUGUGCAUCAGUUUGUGCCAGGAUGGAAUUAAGUUUUUCAAGACUCGUUUAUGUUGAUGUGCCUCUGUCUGGCUAUGUAUUCCAACCUUUUAAUUUAAAUUCCGAUGCUAGGCACACUGGAGCGAGUGUCUGCAGUCACAUGUUUCGAAUUCAGUUUAGAUAAAUAUUACCAAUGUGAUAAUGCUAUUAUGUAUCUUCCUCUACCUAGUUACAUAUAAUUUGUUCCUUUUAGCUCAUAAACUCUCAAAUAUGUGUGCAAUAGAAUUCUUAUUUAUUGCAGUCAAUCUCCACCAGUCCUAGGUCCCAGUAUCAUGGUUUUUCUCCUUAUCCCAAAACAAAUCAUGUUGGUCGAGAUGAUUGACUGAAACUUAAGGAGUUUUCAUACGAUUAUGUAUUAGCAAUCCUGUAAGAUGAAUUGGAGAGGGCACCUAGUUUUGUUUUUCUUUCCUUUUGGGGACUCAUUUUUGUACUUGGAUUGCUGACAGCAGCUAGUGCGUUGAUUCUUGCUACCAAUGCCCCAGUUUCUCUCCAUGUUUUGUAGUUGGAAGUUUGGUAUACUGCUAGGUGCCUGGGUAGUAUAUGAUUUCGUGCUGUCCUGUAACAUGGAGGUACCACUUCAAGUUCUUCACGACUCAUUUCUUUAUGUUGACUGGCCUGAGUGCAAACUACAAUUCUAAACACACUAAAGCGAGUGUUUGCAGUCACUUGUUUCGAAUUCGGUAAUCAAGAUUACCAAUGUGACAAGGUUAUUAAUUACUGAAACUUAAGUAGUUAUUAGGUGAUUGUGCAUUAGCAAUUCUGUAAAGACCACCCAGUUUUGUGUUCUUUCUUUUCUUGUGUGCAUUAUUUAUGUACUAUUAGGAUGGCAGUCGGCAGCUAGUAUGUUGGUUCUCACUAGCAAUACCUCGAGUUUCUUUACUCUUUUUAAGCUAGAAGUUUGUUAUACUGCUAGGUGCAUAUAUACUAGGUAGUAUGAGGACUCCUACAACACAAAUGUACCAAUUCUGUAUUACUUAAGUUUUCCACGUCUCGUUUCUUUAUGGUGUCUUGCCUCUGUCUGGCUAUGUAUUCAAACUUGUAUUACACAUUCCAGUCUAAGCACACUGAAGCGGGUGUUCGCAGUCACAUAUUUUCAAAUUCGGCUGAGACCAAUAUUACCAAUGUGACAACGCUAUUAUGCAAUUUUUCUUCUCUGGUGUCUAAACUUCUAUCUUGUCUGUUCAGGUUUGACAGAGCCGUACGUAAUCAUAUCAGCAUUCUUAAUUCAAAGCGACCAUGGUUUCAACAGCUUGGAGUUCUCACAUACUGACCACUUAGACUACAGAACAACAUGAUCUACAUUGCCUUGCUUGGUGGUGGCCAUGUCAAUGUUUCGGUUAUUAGGUCUAACAUCAAUGUGGAAUUUCCCUGCCUAAGAAUGUGACUUUGAUAUUAGGAGGUCAAGUCAAUUUUUUUUUCUUCAUUAUUAGUUAGAGUUGCUAAAACAGGUAGAAUCUUGGCAGAACGAUCACAACGGAACUGAUAACCAACGUAAGGACAAUAUAAGCAGCACCGGCAUGCAGCUGGAGGGACUUGUUCUUUGUUGUUGCUGCUGCUGCUGUACGGUGAAGGGUAGGCAGCAAAAAAGGUUUGUAGAGCUGUAGAAAGAGGUGAGUGGAAGUCCUAAAUGGUGCUCAUGUUUGGAUCGCCGAAGUACUGAUAAUUUGUGAAAUCUUGAAUAUGCUGUAUGAUCUUGAAUACUGAGUCGACAAUUUUCUCUGCUGUAUGAUCUUUUGUCCCUUUUUCUUCAGAUUUGAUGGAGCUGUAAUCAGAUCGCCCCAGCGUAAGUUGACAAUCCAAACGCAUGCUCGGCUAGUCGGCUGCAGACUGAAUCAACAUGUACACAGAUAGGAGUAGUAUAUACUACUGUCACCAAGUUGGUUGGUUUCACCUGCCUGUUAUUAGCAGCAAGAAAAAUUAAGAGAUGACUUUUGGAUCGCUUGGUCUCGGGUCCUGAGGACAAAACUGCAACCAUCAGCGCUUUCGAUUGAUUUGUGAACGCGGGUGCGGGAAUUGGCGAAGACACACUCGUUGGCGCUAUGGUCAGUUGGUCGUUUCAGAUUAGUAAAGGUGCCUCUAGCUAAACACGCUUGUCCAUAGUUUUUUAGGCGACUCUGGUCUGGUCCAUGGUUUGUAGCAUGGUGACACUAAGCUGAUCUUAACAUAUGAAGGCUUGCCCCGGGUUUGGGCUAAUCUCCGUUGUUUUGGCAUUCUGUUGCAACUUUGUGACGGUUUGCCAAUAGGGCCGAUGCUUUUCUUUUUGUUUGAUCUUCGGAUCCACCCCAUGUUAUUCUUCCGUUGCUACCUGCUAAAUCUGAAUCAAGCCAACAAAUUUGCUGGAUCUUUCCAAAAAAAACAAAACUUUGUGGCGGUUUCUUGAAGGGAAACCAAUUCGUGCUUGUUGUUUAAAAAAAACAGAUACGAAGGUUCCAAGGAGGCCCGCCAUGAAUGCAAUUUUCUCACUUAUAGCGAGAUGGUGUUCUCCUAUUUGGUGCACAGGUCGCUCGCGCCCGCGAGCGACCUGGCGCGUACCUCCCCGCACCCGCUACGUACAAAAUCCGGGCCGGUUGAAACUAGAUCCAUUCUGGUUUUGGGAAAGUUCUAAAACCUUCCUAGACAAAUUGUUUUGGUUAUGCAUGCAAUUUUUUUCUACUUUUUUUUUCAUUUCCUUUCUUUCUACAUUUUUUGUUUUUCUUAUUAUUUUUCCUUUUAAUAUAAUUUUCCUUUUUAUAUUUUUCUUCAUUUUAAUUUUUAAAUAUUUUAUUUUAUUCCCAAAUUUCACGAACAUUUUCUAAACUCCAGGCACAUUUUUUAAAAUUGGUGAACAAUUUUUCAAAUCAGGAAUUUUUUUUGGAAUUCAAAGCUUAUUUAUUGAAUUUAAAAAAUUCAUCAUAGUUUUGAAAUUGCGCAUAGUUUAAAUUCAUAGAAAAAUUUCAAAUCAGGGUGAACAUUUUUCAAUUUAAAAAUCUGUUCAUCAAAUUCAUAAAAUAUUUAUCCUAUUGGUGAAAUUGCAUAUAUUUUUUUUGAACUCAUGAACACAUUUUUUGCAUAGGCGGACUUUUUUUUUGUAAAUAGGGAAGAACUUUUGAAAUCCAUAAACAGUUUUUGUUUUUGAUGAACGUUUUUUGAAUUCAUGAAUAUUUUUUGAAUAAAUGAACAUUUUUAAAAUGUUCUAAACAUUUUCUAAAAAUUUGCAAACAAUUUUUAGGAAUUCGCAAACAGUUUUUUCAAUAUUUUUAAUAUUGUAUAAAAUUCAUGAACAUAUUUUUAAGACACGAAUCCUUUUUUUCUUCUGAAAUCACUUGUUUUUUGAAAAUCCAUGAAUAUUUUUUCCAUUCACGAUUUUUUUGGUUCAAAUUCACAAAACAAUUAUGAUUUCUGGAACAUUUUUCCAAAGUUCAGGUUUUGAAAUUUAGAAAUUUUUCAAUAUCUUUAAUUAUUUUAAGUAUUAAAUAAAAAAACAAAAAAAAGAAAGAACAUGAAAACAGAAAAGCUGGGGGCCUAAUAGGGGUGCGCGCUGACUCAUUUGCCAGCGCGUCACACGCCAUAUAUAGCGGGCGCCCCUAUAUCCCGCUUUCAGCGAGUCCAGCUUCGGACUCGCUGAAGGGGCAAGUGAGAUCGGCAGCCCAUGCAAGCGGUAGGCCACAACCUCUUUUUUAUUUUUCAACCUGAUGUUUUAUGUUUAGUUUUUUGCUUUAUUUUUGUAUUUUUAUUUCUACAUUAAAUAUUGUAAAUAUUAUAUAUAUAUAUAUAGGAUCGCGCUAUUCGUCACCCUGGGUGAGGAAUAGUUAUUCUUCACCCCUCUCUAUUUUACCAUCAAUGCACCGUAAUUUUACAUUCUGUAAGUUUUAUCUUAUUUCCGACGCAAAAAGAGACCGUAAGAAAAUAUAUAAUCGUCGUAAAAAAUAUUUUAUGUUAUGUAAAAUUACAAACGUAAAAACAUAGUCUAAAAUACACAUAAACUGCAAAUUUUCUUGUCUUAUGACCUAUAUUUUUAUUUUCUUGUGUCAAAUUUUAUGUAGUGAAUCAAUAGAAAUGUAACUAUUUGAAUUCGAAAUAUAAUUUAAUUAUGAAAUGAUCGUAAGAUUACCUCGGGUGAAGAAUAACUUAUUCUGCACCCUGGGUGAUGAAUAGUAACACUAUANNNNNNNNNNNNNNNNNNNNNNNNNNNNNNNNNNNNNNNNNNNNNNNNNNNNNNNNNNNNNNNNNNNNNNNNNNNNNNNNNNNNNNNNNNNNNNNNNNNNNNNNNNNNNNNNNNNNNNNNNNNNNNNNNNNNNNNNNNNNNNNNNNNNNNNNNNNNNNNNNNNNNNNNNNNNNNNNNNNNNNNNNNNNNNNNNNNNNNNNNNNNNNNNNNNNNNNNNNNNNNNNNNNNNNNNNNNNNNNNNNNNNNNNNNNNNNNNNNNNNNNNNNNNNNNNNNNNNNNNNNNNNNNNNNNNNNNNNNNNNNNNNNNNNNNNNNNNNNNNNNNNNNNNNNNNNNNNNNNNNNNNNNNNNNNNNNNNNNNNNNNNNNNNNNNNNNNNNNNNNNNNNNNNNNNNNNNNNNNNNNNNNNNNUAUUUGGAAAAAGCAUUACAAAAGCAUUUAAUUUGUAUUGGAAAAACGUUAGAGGUGUAUUAGAAAUAUAUUGCUGACACAUACAAGAAAUGUAGAAUAAUAACCAAAGAACAAAGAAAACCGAAACAAAAAGCAAAAUCAACAAAUUAAAAUUGUAAAUGGAAAAAAGAACAAAGUGUAAAGAAAGAAAGAAAGAAAGAAAGAAAUAAAGAAAGAAAGAAAGAAAUGGAGAGAAAAACAAAAUAAACAAAAGAAAAAGAAGCAUCUUUUUUAAAUUAGUUUUGCCAGUGAAGCAGAAUCUGGAUUUGGGCCAUUUUUAAUGCAAUUUCCUGAAGCAUCUCAAAGUGUACUUCGGUGAUGAAGUUGAUUCCCAUAGGUGAUUAAAAUCUAAGCAAAACUAAAACAAACAGGGCCUACUACUUACCAUGAAUGGGACCUAGGCGGAGUGGCUAGUAGCGCCCGGGAUCGAUCCCUAUUUCUCCCCUUUCCUCUGCUAAUUUUACUUGCUAUGCGUGCAUGAAUGGGCCGGCCCAAUACUAUGUGAAGGAAUGGAAAACCUUUAGCGAGAGCUGCUACCAACUCGCUUAAUGCGACACCAUUUUUUUUGAGAUCACACAUUUUUAUAAAAUACACAAAUAUUCUUUGAAUACACGAAAUUUUUCAACAUAAUAAAGAUUUUUUAACGCCCAAAAAUUUAUAAUUUCUGGAACAUUUGUCCAAAGUUCAGUUUUUUAAAUUUGGAACUUUUUAAAAAUUGAAACAGAAAAACUAGGGUGUUCUAGCAACGUUCAUGGGCGGGCCCAAUAGGGGUGCUGACUCGUUUGCAGGCGCGUCAUACGCCAAAUAGGAGCUCGCAGAGAGAUGAGAGAUCCUAGCUGACGCUCAUUAGCGCCAAACAAGCGAGCUCUCACGUAGGGCUAGUAAAAUCACCAAAACAUGAUGAUUUGUUGAGUAAGCCAACUCGCACCCGUACGAUAGAUGGUAUUUGCUCGUUACCAGUUGAGCUAUCAAAUGUUACUGAUUAAUAGACGUGUGAAUAUUUAAGAACUAACCGCAAUGCCAGAUAAAAAAAAUAAAAAAUUUCGACCACAGAGCAUUUUGUGAUAUAUACCGAACAAAUUUUAAAUACACAUUGAACAUUUCCCUGAUACAUGUUAAACAAUUUUUAAAUACACAUUGAACAUUUUGUGGUGUACGCUGAACAUUUUUAUAACACAUGUUCAACUUUCUCAUAAAUACAGGGUGAACAUUUUCUUAAAAUAGGAUGGACAUUUUUGUAAUACGUGGUGAACUAUUUAUAUAACACACAAAAAAGAGAACAAAAAACAAAAAACAAAAAAAGGAAAAAAGAAACAAUAAAAAUAGAACAAAAACCACUGCAAACCGCAGGAAACAUUUAAAAAUUCGGGAAGCUGCAACCAAAUGAAGAGCAGGCGCCUGUACAUGGGGCGGCCCGAACGGAGGCACGACCUUUUGAGGCAAUUCCUAUUUGGCGCUUAAGACAUCCAUUACUGUGUGUUUUGCAAACAGAUGCCCGAAGCGCCCUCACGCUAGACCGGCCCAUGUAGAUUCUUUUAUGUGUUUUAAUCCUGACAAAAAAAUGUGUGCUAAUUUUCAAUCAAACCAGCGACCUCCCUCAUCAAGAUAAGUGAUGCAACCGCACCGCCACAUAGCGGGAUCAGUAAGUUACAACUUUUUCCUUCUUUUAUUCUUCCUUGUUUUAAUCCCAACAAAAAAAUGUGUGCUAAUUGUCAAUCAAACCAGCGACCUCCCUCAUCGAGAUAAGUGAUGCAACCACACCGCCACAUAGCGGGAUCAGUAAGUUACAACUUUUUCCUUCUUUUAUUCUUUCUUGUUUUUGUUUUUUCCCUUUCCCUUUCCUUUUCCCCUUUUUUCUUUUUCCUUUCUUGUUCAACGAAUUGUUUGCAAAUACGUGAACUUUUUCUUCAAAUUGAUGAUUAUUUUUUAAAAUUUUCAAAUUUGAUGAACAUUUUUCAAAUUCAAUGAUUUCCCCCCCAAAUUUGAUGAAUUUUUUAAAUUUAGUGUUUUUUUAAAUCUUCGAACUCCUUUCCAUUUUCGAUGAACAUUUACAGAAUUUGGUGAAUGUUUUCAAGUAUAUAAGCAUUUUUCAAAAACAUGAUUGUUUUUCAGAAUUUGAGAACAUUUUUUAAUUCAGAAUUUUUUUUCAUUUGCAAUUGAUUUCCCUCUAAUUGGCCCGCCCACUGGCGUUUGAACAUUAUUUGUUUUCUUUCCUGGUUCUUGUUAUUUUUUCUUUUUCCGUUCGGUUUUCUUUGCUUUCUCUUUUUGUUUCUUUGUAGAUUUUCACUGGGUUUCCUUUUUUUAGCAAACAUCUAGUUUUAUUUAGUACAAUUUAUACAUUUUCAGUGCACAUUUAACCAAUUUUUGAUAUAUGUGGAACUUUUUUCAAGUACACAAUGUGCAUAUUAAUUUUAAUACAUGUUUUGAACACUUUUUUGAAUACACUGUCAUGAUUUUCUCAAAUACAUUUUAAAAUUUUUAUGUUAAUAAUUUUUUUCUAUACUAAGCUAACAUUUUUUUACAUUGUUUAAAUAUUUUUGUCAAAUGUCACAAAAAUUAUUUUUGGAUCACGAGACCAUUUCUUUAGUAUGAUACAUACAUUAUUUGUUGGGACUUCCUCCGAUCCAUAUUAUUUCUCUUAAAUUUGUCUAUAUAUGGACGUAUUCAAACACGUUUUAGUGUUAGAAUACAUUCAAAUCUAAGACAAAUAAUACGGACGGGAGGGAAAACAUUUUUAUACUAUACAAUCAUUUUUUACAUUGUAUUAAAAUUUAUGAAAAAAUCACAUUGGUUUGUUUGAAACACAAGAUUUUUUUUCAUGUCAAGAACAUUUUUUAUAAAAAAAUUACACCAUGUUAACACUUUUUUUCUUCAAAUUGACGGGAUUCGGUUUUUUAAUUAAAUCUAAAACUUUAAUAUAUAUUCAUUUAAAGUAUAAAUAAAAUAGAAAGAAAAGUAAGUAAAAAAGUGCGACGCCAGCGGGGCGGGCAAGCCCAUGUCAUGCCUGCGCGAAGCGUUAUUGCUGUGCUUGAUUGUCCCACUAUGGCUCCGCUUGACGCGAGGCUGCCCUACCUCUCGCUAUAAGUAAGAUAUAGGGGUGCCCCAUCCAUCUCAAAAUCUAAAACCUGCGUAUUCUGAAGCUGGACGAUGACAGAAAUGUCCUAGAAGGACCGAUUCAGGCCAACUCAGAGAAGAUGGGUCCAUCAGAUAUGGGAAUGAUGCUAAUACACCGAGCUUUCUUCGAAACACCAUUGUUUUUCUACUCGCAUUUAGGUGGUUGUUGUGUAGUAAGCAUUAUGCAAUCACCUUGUUCUUGGGUGCAGCUAUGUGCUGCUUAUAGCGAGGUGCAUGGAUGCCGCUUAUUUCAUGGUGGGCCAGCCCAGUAGCAUGUGGCUCGUCCUGUCUACGUCAGCCUAAUUUCAUUUUUCUUCUUAUUUUACUUUUAUUUCUAUUUUAAUAUAAGUGCAUAUAAUUUAGAACAUAACUUUAGUUAGUAAAUUUAAAAAAAAUAUUGUAAAAAGCCUUAUCAUAGUAUAAAAAUUUGUUAGCAUGGUUUUAGAAAAUGUUGAUAACUUAAAAUUAAUGUUAAAGACAAUGAAAGAAUGUUCCGCUGUUUCGAAAAAUGUAUGUGGUUUCAAAAAUAUUGUGUAUACAAUGUAAAAGAAUAUGUUUGCUAAUAUAAAAAAUGUUUCGUGUCAUUAAAAAAAUGUAUGUCACAUUUGAUGAAAAUACUCCCACGUUUCAAAAAAUGUUCGUUUCUAGUAUUUUUCGUUCACGAGAGUCACGGUUUUGCUUCCGCGAGAAGAACGGUUGUGCUUUCGAGAGAGUCACGGUCGUGCAUCUCGAAAACGAAAAAAAACGCGUUUUUUGUUUUUUUCCUUCCAUGAGAGGCACGGUUGUGAUUUCGCGAGAGGCACGUGCGUGCCUCUUUCGGAAAGGAAAAACAACCGCGCUCCCGGUUCGGUUUUUUCGCCCGGUUUUUUGCGUUCGGUUUUUUUCGUGAUUUUUUUUGUCAAAACCUAUCAAUAUGGGAUCUAGUUUUGAAGAUCUCAACGCGAGGAAUCCAAUAAUGAAAACGGUUCGAGAUUUGGACGCACGGUUUAAGAGAUAAAACAUUUUAAAUAAACAGAUCUACGAAAAAAGGGAAAACUCACAGGUUGCGACAAGUGGCGCGCUGUAUGUGCGCCACUUGAUGCGACCUGAAAAAGUAAAGUAUUCUUUGCAACGAGUAUUCCUUAAUUAGUUUUUUUGAGACAAAGUAUUCCUUAAUUAAUUAGUGAUUUCGCAGAGAAAGAACCUAUGUGCGAUAUGAACGGCAGCAAACCAAGCGCGCUAAUGGGCCUGCCCGCGAGUCGUCGCCCGUAGGCCUUUCCUAUUAGAAAAUCGGUAGCUCUAGUGCUUGCUCCACGCCGGCUGAAUUAACCUGUUUCGCUCAAAGAAAAUGGUUGAUUGGCGAAAUUACUAAUUAAGGGUUGCUCCUCGUAAAUAUUACUCCUACCUUCUCAGGCGAAGACAAAUGAUGCGUUGAAUGCGCGCCACUUCUCGCAACCAGAGUGUUUCCUUUUUUCCUUUAGAUUUGUUUAUUCAAAAUAUUUUAUCUUUUGAACAAUGCGUCCAUAUCCUGAGUCAUUUUAACUGUUAGAUUGCUCGCAUCGAGAUCUUCAAAACUAGAUCCAACUUUUGUAGGUUUUGGCAAAAAAAAUCAUGAAAAUAAAGCCCCAAAAAACAAUAAACAAAAAAUUGAUAAAAAAGGAAACAAAAAAACCAAUGACAUAAAAACAAUAGAAGGAAAAAACCGAAGUAGAAAGCACGAUUGUGACUUUUCACUUUUUUCUCU